GUAGUAGCGCAUCACAUAUACUAAACAUUGAAGUGAUACAGACAAUAUUAGCAUGGCCCCUAUGUGAGGAUGAUAUACAAAAUCAUGAACCGUUCCGAAUUUUU